GCCAUUAGUAAUGGUCUCUUCC
rnacentral:piRNA from 1 species